UCGAGAAUAUUCGACAAUGGGCGAAAGCCUGAUCGAGCGACGCCGCGUGCAGGAUGAAGGCCUUCGGGUCGUAAACUGCGGUAGUAGGUGAGCAAUGUAAAUGAGCAACCUACGGAAAGAGGUGGGUAACUACGUGCCAGCACCAGCGGUAAUACGUAGACCUCAAGCGUUAUCCGGAUUUAUUGGGCGUAAAGCGUGUGUAGGAGGUUCGGUGCGUCUCAUGUUAAAGCCCACUGCCUAACGGUGGAUCUGCAUGGGAUACGACCGAGCUCGAGGGGGUUAGAGGUGCAUGGAACUCACGGUGUAGGGGUGAAAUCCGUUGAUAUCGUGGGGAACACCAAAGGCGAAGGCAGUGCACUGGGACCUUCCAGACUCUGAGACACGAAAGCGUGGGGAGCAAAAAGG
rnacentral:rRNA from 1 species